AACUUUACAAUGCGGGAAACCGUGAUAAGGGGACACCGAGUGCCAGCAACAUUUGUUGGCUGUCCGGGUGUGUAAACUACACCCGUUAGCAAGGGCCGGGCAAGACCGGUGCCAGCCGCCGCGGUAACACCGGCGGCCCGAGUGGUGAUCGUGAUUAUUGGGUCUAAAGGGUCCGUAGCCGGUUUGGUCAGUCCUCCGGGAAAUCUGACGGCUUAACCGUUAGGCUUUCGGGGGAUACUGCCAGGCUUGGAACCGGGAGAGGUAAGAGGUACUACAGGGGUAGGAGUGAAAUCUUGUAAUCCCUGUGGGACCACCUGUGGCGAAGGCGUCUUACCAGAACGGGUUCGACGGUGAGGGACGAAAGCUGGGGGCACGAACCGGAUUAGAUACCCGGGUAGUCCCAGCCGUAAACGAUGCUCGCUAGGUGUCAGGCAUGGCGCGACCGUGUCUGGUGCCGCAGGGAAGCCGUGAAGCGAGCCACCUGGGAAGUACGGCCGCAAGGCUGAAACUUAAAGGAAUUGGCGGGGGAGCACAACAACGGGUGGAGCCUGCGGUUU
rnacentral:rRNA from 1 species